UACGGAGGGUGCAAACGUUGCUCGGAAUCAUUGGGCGUAAAGCGCACGUAGGCGGCCUGAUAAGUCGGGUGUGAAAGCCCUGGGCUCAACCCAGGAAGUGCACUCGAAACUGUCAGGCUUGAAUAUGGAAGAGGGUCGCGGAAUUCCCGGUGUAGAGGUGAAAUUCGUAGAUAUUGGGAAGAACACCGGUGGCGAAGGCGGCUCUCUGGACCGAUACUGACGCUGAGGCGCGAAAGCGUGGGGAGCAAACAGG
rnacentral:rRNA from 1 species